AACGAACGCUGGCGGCAUGCCUAACACAUGCAAGUCGAACGAGACCUUCGGGUCUAGUGGCGCACGGGUGCGUAACGCGUGGGAACCUGCCCUUAGGUUCGGAAUAACUCCCCGAAAGGGGUGCUAAUACCGGAUAAUGUCUUCGGACCAAAGAUUUAUCGCCUUUGGAUGGGCCCGCGUUGGAUUAGCUAGUUGGUAGGGUAAAAGCCUACAAAGGCGACGAUCCAUAGCUGGUCUGAGAGGAUGAUCAGCCACACUGGGACAGGGACACGGCCCAGACCCCUCGGGAAGGGCGAAGGGGGGAAGGAGGAACGAGGGGCGAAAGAUGAAGCCCGCAGGGCCGCGGAAGGGUGUAAGGAGUGAGGGUUAAAAGGCUCUUUAACCAGGGAUGUUAUGAAGGUACCCGGGAAAAAAGCCCCGGCCAACCACGGU
rnacentral:rRNA from 1 species